rnacentral:miRNA from 1 species
AGGGGUUUCUAUCGGCCU